GUACACUCCUGCGGGAGGCAGCAGUGGGGAAUAUUGCACAAUGGGCGCAAGCCUGAUGCAGCCAUGCCGCGUGUAUGAAGAAGGCCUUCGGGUUGUAAAGUACUUUCAGCGGGGAGGAAGGCAAUACGGUUAAUAACCGUGUUGAUUGACGUUACCCGCAGAAGAAGCACCGGCUAACUCCGUGCCAGCAGCCGCGGUAAUACGGAGGGUGCAAGCGUUAAUCGGAAUUACUGGGCGUAAAGCGCACGCAGGCGGUCUGUCAAGUCGGAUGUGAAAUCCCCGGGCUCAACCUGGGAACUGCAUUCGAAACUGGCAGGCUUGAGUCUUGUAGAGGGGGGUAGAAUUCCAGGUGUAGCGGUGAAAUGCGUAGAGAUCUGGAGGAAUACCGGUGGCGAAGGCGGCCCCCUGGACAAAGACUGACGCUCAGGUGCGAAAGCGUGGGGAGCAAACAGGAUUAGAAACCCUUGUAGUCCCAUG
rnacentral:rRNA from 1 species